rnacentral:rRNA from 1 species
UACGGAGGGGGCUAGCGUUGUUCGGAAUUACUGGGCGUAAAGCGCGCGUAGGCGGACCUGCAAGUCGGGGGUGAAAGCCCGAGGCUCAACCUCGGAACUGCCUUCGAUACUGCGGGUCUCGAGUCCGGGAGAGGUGAGUGGAAUUCCUAGUGUAGCGGUGAAAUGCGUAGAUAUUAGGAGGAACACCAGUGGCGAAGGCGACUUACUGGACCGGCAUUGACGCUGAGGAGCGAAAGCUAGGGGAGCAAACGGG